ACUCCUACGGGAGGCAGCAGUGGGGAAUAUUGGACAAUGGGCGAAAGCCUGAUCCAGCCAUGCCGCGUGUGUGAAGAAGGUCUUCGGAUUGUAAAGCACUUUAAGUUGGGAGGAAGGGCAGUUACCUAAUACGUGAUUGUUUUGACGUUACCGACAGAAUAAGCACCGGCUAACUCUGUGCCAGCAGCCGCGGUAAUACAGAGGGUGCAAGCGUUAAUCGGAAUUACUGGGCGUAAAGCGCGCGUAGGUGGUUAGUUAAGUUGGAUGUGAAAUCCCCGGGGCUCAACCUGGGGAACUGCAUUCAAACUGACUGACUAGAGUAUGGUAGAGGGUGGUGGAAUUUCCUGUGUAGCGGUGAAAUGCGUAGAUAUAGGAAGGAACACCAGUGGCGAAGGCGACCACCUGGACUGAUACUGACACUGAGGUGCGAAAGCGUGGGGAGCAAACA
rnacentral:rRNA from 1 species